AGUGCCCGUACCGCAAACCGACACAGGUAGACGGGAAGAGAAUUCUAAGGCGCGCGAGAGAACCCUUGUUAAGGAACUCGGCAAAAUGACCCCGUAACUUCGGGAGAAGGGGUACCCAUUAGCACUAGCUAGUGGGUCGCAGUGAAAAGAUCCAAGCGACUGUUUAUCAAAAACACAGGUCUCUGCUAAGUCGUAAGACGAAGUAUAGGGGCUGACGCCUGCCCGGUGCUGGAAGGUCAAGGAGAAGGCUUAGUGCUUAUGCACGAAGGUCUGAACCUAAGCCCCAGUAAACGGCGGCCGUAACUAUAACGGUCCUAAGGUAGCGAAAUUCCUUGUCGGGUAAGUUCCGACCUGCACGAAUGGCGUAACGACUUGGAUGCUGUCUCAACAAGGGACUCGGUGAAAUUAAAUUGCCUGUGAAGAUGCAGGCUACCUGCGACAGGACGGAAAGACCCCGUGGAGCUUUACUGCAGCCUGAUAUUGGGUUUUGAUGUAGAAUGUACAGGAUAGGUGGGAGACUUUGAAACUGGCAUGCCAAUGUCAGUGGAGUCGCUGGUGGGAUACCACCCUUUCUACAGCGGAAUUCUAACUGGAGGCCAUAAACUGGUCACAGGACAUUGUCAGGCGGGCAGUUUGACUGGGGCGGUCGCCUCCCAAACAGUAACGGAGGCGCUCAAAGGUUCCCUCAGUGCGGAUGGAAAUCGCACGAAGAGUGUAAAGGCAGAAGGGAGCUUAACUGCAAGACAGACAAGUCGAGCAGGUACGAAAGUAGGACUUAGUGAUCCGGCGGUAUAGUGUGGAAUUGCCGUCGCUCAACGGAUAAAAGUUACCCCGGGGAUAACAGGCUUAUCUCCCCCAAGAGUUCACAUCGACGGGGAGGUUUGGCACCUCGAUGUCGGCUCAUCGCAUCCUGGAGCUGAAGCAGGUUCCAAGGGUUUGGCUGUUCGCCAAUUAAAGCGGUACGCGAGCUGGGUUCAGAACGUCGUGAGACAGUUCGGUCCCUAUCCGUCGCAGGCGAAAGAUACUUGAGAAGAGCUGUCCCCAGUACGAGAGGACCGGGAUGGACACACCGAUGGUGAAUCAGUUGUUCCACCAGGAGCAUAGCUGAGUAGCUAAGUGUGGAAAAGAUAAGCGCUGAAAGCAUCUAAGCGUGAAACAGACUUCAAGAUUAGGUAUCUCACUUUGUUAAGAAGGUAAGAUCCCUUAAAGAUGAUAAGGUAGAUAGGCCAGAGGUGUAAGUGUAGUAAUACAUUAAGCUAACUGGUACUAAUAGAUCGAGGGCUUAAUCAU
rnacentral:rRNA from 1 species